rnacentral:rRNA from 1 species
UACAGAGGUCCCGAGCGUUGUUCGGAUUCACUGGGCGUAAAGGGCGCGUAGGUGGCUUGGCAAGUUUGGCGUGAAAUCUCCGGGCUUAACCCGGAAAUGGCGUUGAAUACUGUUUGAGCUGGAGGUUUGGAGGGGGGACUGGAAUUCUUGGUGUAGCAGUGAAAUGCGUAGAUAUCAAGAGGAACACCAGUGGCGAAGGCGAGUCCCUGGACAACACCUGACACUGAGGCGCGAAAGCGUGGGGAGCGAACAGG